GACUUCAUAGUCUAAAAAUUGGAGUACUCAAUUUUUAAACUUGUUACUAGCCUGCCACCAGUACCCAUCACCCAUGUGAUCCACACACCCUUUUUCUCAUCAGCCCACAUUCAUCAUAGUCCAAAAACUUAGGCUGUCUCAGUCUGAAUAUCCACGUGAUGCACUGAUACACAACAAAAAUUGAAACCCACUUCUCACUCUUCAAUUCUCAGAUCUGAGAUCUCAUAUUCAUGAUUUUACCAUUUGACUGAAGAAAUUGACUCACCUCCGAGGGUCACUCAUGUUUUUGGCUCUCAAGAUGAGUUUAUUUGCUUGAUUACUUCCCUAUCCCUUUAGCAAAAAUAGGUGGAAAGAUCCGUUGCAGAAUCAUUGAUUUUGUGUCCGAAUCAGGGGGUCAAACAGGGAAUCUUACUUUCUCAAUUUCUCUGCUCACACAACUGGUUCGGUUGCUCGUUUUGCCCGACAACAAUGCCGAUCAUCUUCUUUAAUGUCUGAAAAUAUGCAAAAUGAGACUCCAAUCAUUAAUAUUGAGGGUAAUGAGGCUGAUGAGCUGAGCAAAGCAUUUGAAAAAGCCAAAAGGAAGAGAACAUCUCUUGUUUGGAAAGAGUUUGAGGAUGUUAUUCUUGCGGAUGGUUCUUUAAAGGCAAGAUGCAUCUAUUGCAAAGCUCGACUCUAAAAAAAUGACAAGGGUUCUACCACUCAAUUUCAUCGACACUUGAAUGUUUGUCCACAUUGCCAACUAUUUGAUAAGAGGCAAAAGAUACUGUCAGCAAACAAGCUUGGGUCCAAAGGGGAAGGAAAUCUUACAAAUUUCAAGUAUAACCAUACAAGAGUUAGGGAAGUUGCAGCUCAUAUGGUCUUUGUGCAUGAAUAUCCAUUUAAUAUGAUGGAGCAUGAGUUGUUUAAUGAAUUUAUGAGAACUGCAGCUCCAUAUUAUCAAAAGAUUUCACGCACCACAUUGAAAAAUGAUUGCAUGGCUACUUAUGAAUUUGAAAAGAUAAGAUUGAAAGGAUUUUUAAAGGAUGUCAACAGAGUUAGCCUCAGGGAGAUUGCUGAAGAUCUGAACAACAAAUUGGAUAUAUGGUCAUUACAUGCCACUUCGUUGAUUUUGAUUGGAAGCUACAAAUAUGUAUUUUGAGCUGUUGUGACGUGCCUCCUCCACACACUGGACUCGUCAUAUAUGAUGUUAUUUCUCAGUGUUUAAUUGAUUGGGGAAUUGAAAACAAAGUGUCAAGUAUAACAUUUAACAAUGCAACUAACAAUGAUGCAGUUGUGAGGAUUUUAAAAGACAACUUUUGUUUGAAAGACGGACUUUUCUUAAGUGGAAAGAUAUUUCAUGUACGAUGUUGUGCACACAUAUUAAACCUUAUUGUGCAGGAUGGGUUGGAUGAAAGUCCACUGUCAUUGAGAACAUUCGUGAGAGUGUGAAGUACUUGAAAGCGUCAAAGGCACGUCUAUUGAAGUUUGCAGAAAUUGUGAAACAACUACAGCCAGCUGAAAAAAAAUAGAUUUUAGAUGUUCCAACAUGUUGGGAUUCAACUUAUGAAAUGUUAGCUACAACAAUAAAGUAUAAGGAAGUUUUUCCAAGGUAUCAUGAUAGGGAUCCAAGUUACCGGUGGUUGCCAUCUUUUGUUGACUGAGAGAGAGCGGAAGAAGUGUGUAAGUUUUUAGGAGUGUUUGAAUAUGUCAUAAAAAUUAUAUCAGGAAGUGACUAUCCAACAUCAAACUUAAUUAUGACUGAAAUUUUGAGGGUAAAAUAAUUAUUGGAUCAAAAGUCUAUUAAUAAAAAUAUUUAUAUUCAAGCAAUGGCUGAUAGGAUAAAGAAGAAGUUUGACAAGUAUUGGGGUGAUUGUAAUUUCCUCAUGGCCAUUGGUGCUAUUUUGGAUCCAAGAUACAAGAUGAAGCUGAUUGAAUUUUGAUUUCCUAAGAUCUACAAUGAGAUUGAAGCAUCUAAACACAUCACCUCAAUUCGUGAGGCGUUAUAUGAAAUCUUCAACGAUUAUGUUACUAAUUAUUCUUCAAGUAACAACAUAGAAAGUCUGUAUGUGAAAGCUCAAGAGGGUGGUUCUAGUGAUGGUGGGAUUGGUACUUCGGAGGGAAAUAGCAACUCAAGUGGCAAAAAUGAGUUUGAUCUAUUUGUUAGAAGAACUGAAAAUAUUCAACCUACAAAAUCGGACUUGAUAUAUAUCUUGAAGGCGGUGUCUUCAUUUGUAAUGGGAAUUCAGCUUCACACUUUUAUGCUUUAGAAUGGUUGAAGGCUAACAACCUCAAGUUUCGCAUUUUGUCAAAGAUGGCAAGUGAUAUCCUGUCCAUUCCCAUCACUACAGUAGCUUCAGAAUCUGCCUUCAGCGUUGGAGAGUGAAAAAGGUACUGGAGCUGUUAUUGAAUUACCAAUCCCAAAAUGACAAGUUGCAGGUUGAAGUUUUUUUGCUAGAAGACUUUUUGGUACUUUUGAAUGAAGGGAAAUUAUUUUUUUUGCAAAGUUAAAUCAUUUUUCCCUUGCUAAAAUCAGAAGUUAAUGAAUGUUAAUAUAAUUGGACAAAAUAUAAACUUUUAUUUAUGGUUGGGUACUAUUGUACAUUUGUUGUUGGUUUCUAUGUGUUUUGCCCCAGCUGGGAAAAUGGCUAUCUAUUUUUUUGGGAUGUCUCUUUUGGUUCGCUGGGAAUUGGUAGUUUUGGUUGUAGUAAGAUUGGCUUCUUGAGGUGGCUUUUUUGGUUAUCCAUGUGCUGCUCCUAAGACUGCCGGUGGUUAUCUUUUGUAAUGACUAUCCACUUCUUUUGGUUCAUUGAUUGUAAGAUAUUGGUAGGGGUAUGAUUUGAGCUUAUAGUUGGCAAGGGUAUGGCUAACAGGUUCAUGGUGCAGAGAAAUGCCCUUCUUAAUACUUCUAAUGUUACCUUAUGCCCAGCAGGUUCACGAUGUAUAGGGGGAUGGCUCUUUAAAUACUUGUAAUGUUACUUUUCUAAUAUGUAAGAAAAUGCUUGGGGUAUGCUCUGGCUAUAAUUGUGCUGAAUUGUUUCUUUGUAUGAUUCCAUUUUACGUAAUAUAUAGCUUUGCUUAAUAUUUUUA